rnacentral:rRNA from 1 species
UGAUAUUCCUGUACCACCUAUAAUCGUUUUAAUCGAUGGGGGGACGCAGUAGGAUAGGCGAAGCGUGCGAUUGGAUUGCACGUCUAAGCAGUAAGGCUGAGUAUUAGGCAAAUCCGGUACUCGUUAAGGCUGAGCUGUGAUGGGGAGAAGACAUUGUGUCUUCGAGUCGUUGAUUUCACACUGCCGAGAAAAGCCUCUAGAUAGAAAAUAGGUGCCCGUACCGCAAACCGACACAGGUAGUCAAGAUGAGAAUUCUAAGGUGAGCGAGCGAACUCUCGUUAAGGAACUCGGCAAAAUGACCCCGUAACUUCGGGAGAAGGGGUGCUCUUUAGGGUUAACGCCCAGAAGAGCCGCAGUGAAUAGGCCCAAGCGACUGUUUAUCAAAAACACAGGUCUCUGCUAAACCGUAAGGUGAUGUAUAGGGGCUGACGCCUGCCCGGUGCUGGAAGGUUAAGAGGAGUGGUUAGCUUCUGCGAAGCUACGAAUCGAAGCCCCAGUAAACGGCGGCCGUAACUAUAACGGUCCUAAGGUAGCGAAAUUCCUUGUCGGGUAAGUUCCGACCCGCACGAAAGGCGUAACGAUUUGGGCACUGUCUCAACGAGAGACUCGGUGAAAUCAUAGUACCUGUGAAGAUGCAGGUUACCCGCGACAGGACGGAAAGACCCCGUGGAGCUUUACUGUAGCCUGAUAUUGAAAUUCGGCACAGCUUGUACAGGAUAGGUAGGAGCCUUUGAAACGUGAGCGCUAGCUUACGUGGAGGCGCUGGUGGGAUACUACCCUAGCUGUGUUGGCUUUCUAACCCGCACCACUUAUCGUGGUGGGAGACAGUGUCAGGCGGGCAGUUUGACUGGGGCGGUCGCCUCCUAAAAGGUAACGGAGGCGCUCAAAGGUUCCCUCAGAAUGGUUGGAAAUCAUUCAUAGAGUGUAAAGGCAUAAGGGAGCUUGACUGCGAGACCUACAAGUCGAGCAGGGUCGAAAGACGGACUUAGUGAUCCGGUGGUUCCGCAUGGAAGGGCCAUCGCUCAACGGAUAAAAGCUACCCCGGGGAUAACAGGCUUAUCUCCCCCAAGAGUUCACAUCGACGGGGAGGUUUGGCACCUCGAUGUCGGCUCAUCGCAUCCUGGGGCUGUAGUCGGUCCCAAGGGUUGGGCUGUUCGCCCAUUAAAGCGGUACGCGAGCUGGGUUCAGAACGUCGUGAGACAGUUCGGUCCCUAUCCGUCGUGGGCGUAGGAAAUUUGAGAGGAGCUGUCCUUAGUACGAGAGGACCGGGAUGGACAUACCUCUGGUGUACCAGUUGUCGUGCCAACGGCAUAGCUGGGUAGCUAUGUGUGGACGGGAUAAGUGCUGAAAGCAUCUAAGCAUGAAGCCCCCCUCAAGAUGAGAUUUCCCAACUUCGGUUAUAAGAUCCCUCAAAGAUGAUGAGGUUAAUAGGUUCGAGGUGGAAGCAUGGUGACAUGUGGAGCUGACGAAUACUAAUCGAUCGAAGACUUAAUCAA